rnacentral:rRNA from 1 species
UAAUACAUGCAAGUAGAACGCAGAGGUCAGGUGCUUGCACUGGACUGAUGAGUUGCGAACGGGUGAGUAACGCGUAGGUAACCUACCUGAUAGCGGGGGAUAACUAUUGGAAACGAUAGCUAAUACCGCAUAAAAGUGGUUGACCCAUGUUAACCAUUUAAAAGGAGCAACAGCUCCACUAUGAGAUGGACCUGCGUUGUAUUAGCUAGUUGGUAGGGUAAAGGCCUACCAAGGCGACGAUACAUAGCCGACCUGAGAGGGUGAACGGCCACACUGGGACUGAGACACGGCCCAGACUCCUACGGGAGGCAGCAGUAGGGAAUCUUCGGCAAUGGGGGGAACCCUGACCGAGCAACGCCGCGUGAGUGAAGAAGGUUUUCGGAUCGUAAAGCUCUGUUGUUAGAGAAGAACAGUGAUGGGAGUGGAAAGUCCAUCAUGUGACGGUAACUAACCAGAAAGGGACGGCUAACUACGUGCCAGCAGCCGCGGUAAUACGUAGGUCCCGAGCGUUGUCCGGAUUUAUUGGGCGUAAAGCGAGCGCAGGCGGUUUGAUAAGUCUGAAGUUAAAGGCAGUGGCUUAACCAUUGUAUGCUUUGGAAACUGUUAAACUUGAGUGCAGAAGGGGAGAGUGGAAUUCCAUGUGUAGCGGUGAAAUGCGUAGAUAUAUGGAGGAACACCGGUGGCGAAAGCGGCUCUCUGGUCUGUAACUGACGCUGAGGCUCGAAAGCGUGGGGAGCAAACAGGAUUAGAUACCCUGGUAGUCCACGCCGUAAACGCUGAGUGCUAGGUGUUAGGCCCUUUCCGGGGCUUAGUGCCGUA